rnacentral:snoRNA from 1 species
AUGACCUUCCAAGUUUUAAAAGAAGACGAUGAUAUUAUUUGCGUUCCUAAUCGUACAAUUCUUCCCAGGUUUCGUUUGACGACUCCCGGGGUUUUACUGCCGAAGACGGUUCCUGCGCAGCACUUUUAUCUUGUUACAUCAAUGUUAUAAUUCAAGGACGUCAUUUUAGAAAAUUCUGAUUCUU